GAUGAACGCUGGCGGCGUGCCUAAUACAUGCAAGUCGAGCGAACAGACGAGGAGCUUGCUCCUCUGACGUUAGCGGCGGACGGGUGAGUAACACGUGGAUAACCUACCUAUAAGACUGGGAUAACUUCGGGAAACCGGAGCUAAUACCGGAUAAUAUAUUGAACCGCAUGGUUCAAUAGUGAAAGACGGUUUUGCUGUCACUUAUAGAUGGAUCCGCGCCGCAUUAGCUAGUUGGUAAGGUAACGGCUUACCAAGGCAACGAUGCGUAGCCGACCUGAGAGGGUGGUCGGCCACACUGGAGCUGAGACACGGUCCAGACUCCUACGGGAGGCAGCAGAAGGGAAUCUUCCGCAGUGGGCGAAAGCUUGACGGAGCAACGGCGCGUGAGUGAUGAAGGUCUUCGGAUCGUAAAACUCUGUUAUUAGGGAAGAACAAAUGUGUAAGUAACUAUGCACGUCUUGACGGUACCUAAUCAGAAAGCCACGGCUAACUACGUG
rnacentral:rRNA from 1 species